ACGUUCAUCCGCCCAAAGCAAAAGGGGAUAAAAAACUCCCGACUCCGCCACAGUAACCCUCUCUCUAUCUCCCUUCAUCUGUGCAGGUAACGGGAGAGAGAUGCACGGCCGUCCUCGUAUAGCCCCAAAACCAGAAGAGGCGGCUGCUUCAGCCGCCAAAGCAGAGAGCUUCGAGCUCUGCAAUCUCAGUUCCUUUCGUAUCAUCGCAAUAAAAUUUACACUAAGGAGGCUGUAGAGCUAAGUGGGAAGCUACUAGAGAUCAAUCCAGAAUCCUACACGGCGUGGAAUUACAGGAAGCUCGCCUCUGAGCACAAUCUUAGGCAGGCCGACUCUGAUCCAGACUCGCUCAAGUCGAUUCUCGAUGAAGAACUAAGAGUGGUGGAGAUUGCCUUAAGGCAAAAUUUUAAAUCCUAUAGUGCUUGGCAUCAUCGGAAGUGGGUUCUAAGCAAGGGGCAUUCAUCUAUAGGUCAUGAAUUGAGGCUUCUAGAUAAGUUCCAGAGGAUUGAUCCCCGAAACUUUCAUGCAUGGAACUAUCGCAGAUUUGUAGCCGCAUUGAUGAAAA